ensembl:lncRNA
CUGAUCACAGCUUUCAUGUGUCUUUGCAUGCUCUCCACCAAUCUUUCACAUUACUGUUGGUUGACUUUAUGCCACUCCUGGUGCAAAAACUCAAGCAGCUACGCUUUAAGUAGAAACCAUUGACCCACACUCACCCUCUCUGAAAAGCUUCCUCUUUCUUUGUUAAAGUGUUGUAGUUUCCUGGUGUGUCAGUAGAGCUGCUGUCUGUCUGUCAGUGAAGACGCUGCGUGAGACUCGAUCUGACUCUCUUCUGCUGGGAUUGAGCUCUUCUGGAGACUGGACUUUAGAGAAAUGAUGCUGAUCUUUGGACUGAUGCUGCUGCUGCAAACUGCUGCAUGUCUGGAUCGGUUCUGCAGUUUUAAUCAAUCUGAUCCCUGUCACGCAGCUCUGGGACACAAACUCAAUCUGCUGAUGGUGCGGGAUGCUAGAGAAUAUGACCUGAGGUUAUGUCACAGAAUAAACAACACACAAGAUGAUCCAGUUUGCAGAGUAAAAUAUGGCAGGAUAAAGGAAUGUGAUCUUUAUAAUAACAGACCUGAAGUGAAUAUCAUUAAUGGGACUGUGAUAAUAAAACGUGUGAUCAGAGCAGAUUCUGGGAAUUACAUAUUAACACUCACUGACUCAGACGGCACAGAAACAUCUAGAGAUCUUCAAGUGAUUGUUGAAGCUCCAAUUGGCUCAGUGGAAGUGUCAAUCAUCUGCUCCUCCAGUGGGGUGAUGAGGGUGUUCUGCUCCUCUGAGGGGGAUCAGCUCCUCUACAGCUGGACUCUGAAUGGAGGUCCACUGAUGGAUGGAAACAGCAGCAUUGAUCUGGAUGAGGGAACUGAUGGAGACAUCAGCUGCAGCGUGAAGAACCACGUCAGUCACGCACAGAAGAACAUUAGAGCCAAACCCUGUCCUGGACCAACUACUGCAGCUGUGACCUCUAGUUUGACCUCUACGUCGACACAGACAUCAGAAUAUGGUCUGGAAGUAAGAUGCAGUUUUAAUCAAUCUGAUCCCUGUUACGCAGCUCUGGAACACAAACUCAAUCUGCUGAUUGAGCGGGACGCUCGAAAAUAUGAUCUGAAGAUAAUAAAGAGAAUAAACAACACACAAGAUGAUCCAAUUUGUAGAGUAAAAUAUGGCAGGAAAAAGGAAUGUGAUCUUUAUAAUAACAGAAUUGAAGUGAAUAUCAUUAAUGCGACUGUGAUAAUAAACCGUGUGAUCAGAGAAGAUUCUGGGAAUUACAGAUUACUACUCUUUCACUCAGACGGCACAGAAACAUCUAGAGAUCUUCAAGUGAUUGUUGAAGCUCCUAUUGGCUCAGUGGAAGUGUCAAUCAUCUGCUCCUCCAGUGGGGUGAUGAGGGUGUUCUGCUCCUCUGAGGGGGAUCAGCUCCUCUACAGCUGGACUCUGAAUGGAGAUCCACUGAUGGAUGGAAACAGCAGCAUUGAUCUGGAUGAGAGAAGAGAUGGAGACAUCAGCUGCAGCGUGAAGAACCACGUCAGUCACGCACAGAAGACCAUUAGACUCAAACCCUGUCCUGAGACGCUGCUGUCGGACACUGUUGAGAGACGCACAGAUGCAGGUAAUUCACACACACA